rnacentral:rRNA from 1 species
UGGGGAAUAUUGGACAAUGGGCGAAAGCCUGAUCCAGCCAUGCCGCGUGUGUGAAGAAGGUCUUCGGAUUGUAAAGCACUUUAAGUUGGGAGGAAGGGCAGUAAAUUAAUACUUUGCUGUUUUGACGUUACCGACAGAAUAAGCACCGGCUAACUCUGUGCCAGCAGCCGCGGUAAUACAGAGGGUGCAAGCGUUAAUCGGAAUUACUGGGCGUAAAGCGCGCGUAGGUGGCUCGUUAAGUUGGAUGUGAAAUCCCCGGGCUCAACCUGGGAACUGCAUUCAAAACUGACGAGCUAGAGUAUGGUAGAGGGUGGUGGAAUUUCCUGUGUAGCGGUGAAAUGCGUAGAUAUAGGAAGGAACACCAGUGGCGAAGGCGACCACCUGGACUGAUACUGACACUGAGGUGCGAAAGCGUGGGGAGCAAAACAGGAUUAGAUACCCUGGUAGUCCACGCCGUAAACGAUGUCAACUAGCCGUUGGGAGCCUUGAGCUCUUAGUGGCGCAGCUAACGCAUUAAGUUGACCGCCUGGGGAGUACGGCCGCAAGGUUAAAAC